GGAUAUUUACAUUGAGCCAGUGGGCAG
rnacentral:piRNA from 1 species